rnacentral:ncRNA from 1 species
ACAGUACAAACUGAGCAGGCGAUGGCAGCGGAGAUCAUCAGGUAACAGGCAGAUUUCCGUAUUUAGCAUAAGGCCGGGCUGCAUAAGCGGCAGCGGAUAUGGAUCACACAAACAUAUCUGCGGGACAGUG